rnacentral:tRNA from 1 species
GGCCUGUUAGCUCAGUUGGUUUGAGCGCCGUGUUAAUAACGCGGAGGUCAUGAGUUCGAUCCUCUUACGGGCCA